rnacentral:rRNA from 1 species
GCAGUCGCACGGACCUUUCGGGGUCAGUGGCGGACGGGUGAGUAACGCGUAGGGAAUAUCCAUGGGUGGGGGAUAACACUGGGAAACUGGUGCUAAUACCGCAUGAUGCCUGAGGGCCAAAGGCGCAAGUCGCCUGUGGAGGAGCCUGCGUUCGAUUAGCUUGUUGGUGGGGUAAAGGCCUACCAAGGCGAUGAUCGAUAGCUGGUCUGAGAGGAUGAUCAGCCACACUGGGACUGAGACACGGCCCAGACUCCUACGGGAGGCAGCAGUGGGGAAUAUUGGACAAUGGGCGCAAGCCUGAUCCAGCAAUGCCGCGUGUGUGAAGAAGGUCUUCGGAUUGUAAAGCACUUUCGACGGGGACGAUGAUGACGGUACCCGUAGAAGAAGCCCCGGCUAACUUCGUGCCAGCAGCCGCGGUAAUACGAAGGGGGCUAGCGUUGCUCGGAAUAACUGGGCGUAAAGGGCGCGUAGGCGGUUUGGA